GCAAAUUCCUAUAGUAACUUGCUCCCUGAGA
rnacentral:piRNA from 1 species